UUUCCUCUAGGGACCAAAACCCUAAUGUGUAAAUAGAUUUCAGUGUGGAUGUGGAUUUUUUCAAGUUGCAAACUAAUUUCGUCGUCUGGUGUGGAUUUCAUCUGCUAUGCAUACAUAUUUCUUCUAGUGCAAAUAGAUUUCUUCUAGUGGUCUCUGUUUAGUUACUCCCUUUGUUUUGGUGCUCUCUGUAUCUCCUUCCUAAUGUAUUUCCUUUUCUUGUGCUUUCAAAGAAAAAUAAUCUAACUUUUUCAACUAAGAACAUGUUGUAGAAUAGAGAAAAAUAGUAUUAUACCAACAUGGGAGAAAUUUUGUUCUAAUGA